UGUAGGAGCUGCCGCAGGCUGCGAUCUUUUGAUCUUGAUCUGAUAAAAAUCAAAAGAUCGCAGCCUGCGGCAGCUCCUACA
rnacentral:misc_RNA from 1 species